UGCCAGCAGCCGCGGUAAUACGAAGGGUGCUAGCGUUGUUCGGAAUUACUGGGCGUAAAGAGCAUGUAGGCGGAUUUUCUAGUCAGGCGUGAAAGCCCCGGGCUCAACCCGGGAAUUGCGUUUGAUACUGGAAGUCUAGAGUUCUGGAGAGGGUGGUGGAAUUCCCAGUGUAGAGGUGAAAUUCGUAGAUAUUGGGAAGAACACCGGUGGCGAAGGCGGCCACCUGGCCAGACACUGACGCUAAGGCGCGAAAGCGUGGGGAGCAAACAGGAUUAGAUA
rnacentral:rRNA from 1 species